rnacentral:snoRNA from 1 species
ACGCAGACUCCGAUCACUUCUACUGUGUUUCAGUGAGAAGGGGAACCAGGUCUGCUACAGUAACAGGGUGCCAAGACGGUG